AUUUAUUUUAGGAUAUAUUUUUUUGUACUCAAUCAAAAUGCAUGCAAGGCUCCUGUUCCAUUCACAGACGCACUGAUAAACAAUAAAAUGUUUACCAUACUUCUGGGUUUCAAAAGGAGUCAAAAACAAAAAGAAGAUUAAGAUUAGCGCUGUAAAUGUUGGAAUGAAAAGUUUUUUGAAGGACUUCGAUGUAUCUGAUUUAAUUGGUUGGAACGAUUGGUUGGAAAGAUUGACGUUGAGACGAUAGCAACUUGUUAAUGCGAUAGUUUCCAACUUGACCCCAAACUUGACAACAAUAGCUAAGAUGAGAUGAGAAUAAUGCAUAAUAAAUACUCCUAAGUGUAACUUUAUUGACGUAAUGACGAAUUAUUGAAAGCAUACCGUUAGCUCGAGAUUUUUCGAGUUUCUUGCUUAGUUCAUUAGUAUGAAAGUUUCAUGAAAAAUUACAAUCAAUUAAUACACCAAGAUAUUUAACAACUCUUGAAGGAUAUAGCCGUUUAAUAUUAAUUUUGAUUUUGAUUUCAACAUUUUUAAA